rnacentral:rRNA from 1 species
AUGGUGCUCGGCAUCCUGGCGGCGAGCGUGACGUACCAGUACCAGGCUGGUCUCGCACCUCCCGGCGGCACGUGGGGCGACGACGAUACCGCUUCGCCAUCGCCCUUGCCGUCCCCAUCGGCACACCCACCCACCGUCGCCGGCAACCCGAUCCUGCUUGACUUCAAUGCUGCACGGUACCAGGCCUUCUUUUACUGCAACGCAACAUCGUUCGUGGCCUCGGUCGUCGUCAUCUUGAUGCUGCUGCAUCGCACCACGAAGAAGCAGAAGCCCGGUGCGCCGCUGCGGGCGUUGCAGACCGCUGUGGUCCUGCUAGGCUGGCAGCUGCAGGGACUGGGAGACAUCUUCAUACGUCAUUGCGCUCGUCGCCGCGGUGGCCGUCUUCACCAUGAUCUACGUGUUACUGGCGUUCAACGUCGUGCGGACCAAGGCCAAGAAGUACUUUUCUGCAAAGGGGUUGAAAUACUCAGGAGCACGCAAUGA